UUGAAGCAUUCAAAAAAUCGGUCAAGGACGAGUUCGCUGAUUUGAGAAAAAUGCUUGAAGACAAAUUCAAAACAGUGUUGGAAGCCAUGAAUUCAAAGGUUAAUGUCGUCG